rnacentral:lncRNA from 1 species
UUAACAUAACUCUCUUUUUUUUUUACAUUGAGAAAAAAUGAAAAGGACUUUUAAGAGUCACCAUACAACUCUCCGGCCGACGAGCCUUAGAGAGAAAAAAAAAACACAAAACAUAAAGAGCACAAGACUCCAAAACAACUAACAAGAUUCACCACAGAAGAACAAAACACUUUGCUUCUCCUGCGAAAACACACCUAAAAACAACUUUCUGAACACCGGAGAAACUCACCGGAAAAAAAAGACAGGUAAAAAAAAGACACACUAUAAAGCCACAAAUUUUUAGUAAAAUAUAAAACGUUGAUUGAUUAUCUAUUACGAUCAUCCGAUUUUAUGAUUUCGAAUGGUGAUCGACCGCACCGCACCGUACCACCGUAAAUACUAAUAAAAACAUCAACAUAGCCUUUGUAAGGAGGGAAGUCAAGCAUUCUCAGACACGUUGUGAGUAUGCACGACACAAAGAAAGCUCUUAGCUUCCACUUAGAUGGAUGCGAUGUUAAAACACUCCAUAAACCCCACACCACUAGCUCUACUCCUCCUAUACCGUAUAUAACUUUCCUGUGCAGCCCUGUCAAGUUAUAGAGAGUGAGAACGUGAUAUGCAUUAGAGAGUCCUAAAGAAGAUCAUAUACCUUCAUCAAGGUUGUAGAAAUUGAGGUAGAUGAUAUGAGUUGCUACAAGUGCAAGAACAGGUGCAGUAACCAUGACUUUGGCAGAUUGAUCAUGUAUACUGAAAGACCGUAUUACAGCUAGAACUAGCGUAUACCCGGCUAGUACUGUAGCUGAAGAGUAAUCUAGCCUCUCUGUCAAGUCGACAUCUCUAUAUACAAAAAGUCCAAAAAAAAAAAAAAUGAGACUGACUUGACGAGUUUUAACAAUCUAGGUGCAAGCCCGGUCCAGAGCAUAGGUAAAAGAACUGGUUGCUUUUGAUCAAAAAAAAAAAGAACUGGUUGCUUAUCACAUCACAUUUUAUGAAUAGUUUUAGUUGUAUAUAGGGCAUUAUGAAAAAAAUUAUAUGUUAAUUAAAUGUACAAAAAGAAAUAAUUGAGCUUAUGACAUUUAUAAUUUUUUUUUUAAAUGUCACUGUUGUAUGGAUUGGAACAUGGAGAUAGAUGAAUGUUACCUGCUGUGACAGACACCACUCCAGAAGAGUGCAUUCAUUACAAUGAUGGCAUAGAUAUGCAGUAAUCCAUUGUAUUCAUAGUAAGUUUUUCGGUUUGGCUGGAGAGGCAAGUGAUAGUAAACGAGGAUGAAGUAAGAGACCCAUCCAUGGAACUGUAUUGCAAGGUCAAGAGCAGCGAAAGCAGCGGAGACAGGUUCCUGAAGGUGCAUAUGAGGAACAUUACUUCAAAACAAGUGCUGAGUUUGUUUCUCUUGAAGCUGAGAGUAUGCAAAGAGGAAGUUACCUGAAUGCCAUAGACAUGUUUGAGUGGCCAUUUACCGAAGUACUUGGUAGGUUUCUCACCGUCUCUUUUCCUCUCUUCUUCUCUAGUCAUCAUGCAUUCGUAUUGACAAUCACUUUGGCAAUCCCACUGCUUCCAUCGCAGGUAAAGUGGCUCUUGCAUGUACCAUGGACCGUCAUUGGCCUUUCCAUCAGCUGAAAAAAAUUUACAUUGAUGGAAGCAAGUAUCCCCCACGCAUCCAGUUUUUUGACAUUGAUCAACACAUGACCUGGAAACCAAUUAUCAUAUUAACACUGCUUUGUUAAUAAUAAACAUUAGUUGAAUCAAUGACAAGGUUAUGAGCAAAGAGAGUAAUCUUAGACAAUACCAUACUGCUAAGUUAUUUUCUAGGACACAUGCAAAUACGUUAUUACAACAAAGCCUCUCUCUUAGGCAACAUCAACUGGUCUAUCCAUCAAACCUUGGUAACAAGUUCUACUUUUAUUUUUAAUUUCUUUCAUUCUUCCCAUUAGAGAGAAAGAAAAGCU